UGCGUAGGUGGUUUCUUAAGUCAGGAGUGAAAGGCUACGGCUUAACCGUAGUAAGCUCUUGAAACUGGGAAACUUGAGUGCAGGAGAGGAAAGUGGAAUUCCUAGUGUAGCGGUGAAAUGCGUAGAUAUUAGGAGGAACACCAGUAGCGAAGGCGGCUUUCUGGACUGUAACUGACACUGAGGCACGAAAGCGUGGGGAGGCAAAACA
rnacentral:rRNA from 1 species